rnacentral:lncRNA from 1 species
GGCUGAUGUCGGAGGGGACCGAGGCAUUGAGGCGGUCGGAGACGAAGGAGGAGCAGUGGGAGCGGCCGACGGUGUGCGCGCCGGAGAGCACGACCAGGUCCUCCACCGACAUCCCCUUGACGGCGAAGCUGGAGACGAGGGUGCUGAGGUUGGACGUCGGCGGGACCAGGAACUUGAGCGACUCGGAGGCGUUGGAGAAGGUGCCGUCCAGGCGGCCCGCCGGCAUGUCGAAGCGGACCUUGCCGCCGCUCAGGAAGUAGGACGCGUCGCGGGCCGCGAAGGCGAUGAUGUCGGCGCAGGAGACGACCCCGGGGCACGCGGCCUCCAGGGCGUCCUUGAUGGCGUCGAUCAGCUCGAACCCGCGUAGGCUUGGGUUGUUGGGCGGGCUUGUCUUCUCCGGCGUCGGGCUGAACGGGGUCGGGUCCAGA